UAUGGUUGUGUGCCAGCAGCCGCGGUAAUACGUAGGUGGCAAGCGUUGUCCGGAAUUACUGGGUGUAAAGGGAGUGUAGGCGGGAUAUCAAGUCAGAAGUGAAAAUUACGGGCUCAACUCGUAACCUGCUUUUGAAACUGACAUUCUUGAGUGAAGUAGAGGCAAGCGGAAUUCCUAGUGUAGCGGUGAAAUGCGUAGAUAUUAGGAGGAACACCAGUGGCGAAGGCGGCUUGCUGGGCUUUUACUGACGCUGAGGCUCGAAAGCGUGGGGAGCAAACAGG
rnacentral:rRNA from 1 species